rnacentral:rRNA from 1 species
AAUUGGAGGGCAAGUCUGGUGCCAGCAGCCGCGGUAAUUCCAGCUCCAAUAGCGUAUAUUAAAGUUGUUGCAGUUAAAGAGCUCGUAGUUGAAUUUCGAGAUCGGCUUACUGGUCGUGCUAUUGUACGUACUGGUAUAAUCGGUUUCUCCUUUCUGACGAACUUUAAUGCCAUUAAUUUGGUGUUUUAGGGAAUCAGGACUGUUACUUUGAAAAAAUUAGAGUGUUUAAAGCAGGCUCACGCUUGAAUACAUUAGCAUGGAAUAACGAAAUAGGACGUUUGAUUCUAUUUUGUUGGUUUCUAGGAUCGAUGUAAUGAUUAAUAGGGAUAGUUGGGGGCAUUAGUAUUCAAUUGUCAGAGGUGAAAUUCUUGGAUUUAUUGAAGACUAACUACUGCGAAAGCAUUUGCCAAGGAUGUUUUCAUUAAUCAAGAACGAAAGUUGGGGGAUCGAAGACGAUCAGAUACCGUCGUAGUCUUAACCAUAAACUAUGCCGACUAGGGAUCGGAUGAUGUUAAUUUUUUAAUGACUCAUUCGGCGCCUUACGGGAAACCCAAGUGU